rnacentral:rRNA from 1 species
UACGUAGGUCGCAAGCGUUGUCCGGAUUUACUGGGCGUAAAGAGCGUGUAGGCGGCUGGUCAAGUCCGAUGUGAAAUCUCCCGGCUCAACUGGGAAACUGCAUCGGAAACUGCUCGGCUUGAAGAUGGGAGAGGGUAGUGGAAUUCCCGGUGUAGUGGUGAAAUGCGUAGAUAUCGGGAGGAACACCAGUGGCGAAGGCGACUACCUGGCCCAUACUUGACGCUGAGACGCGAAAGCUAGGGGAGCGAACGGG